rnacentral:rRNA from 2 species
GACGGAGGGUGCUAGCGUUGUUCGGAAUCACUGGGCGUAAAGGGCGCGUAGGCGGCUUUGGCAGUCGGCUCGUGAAAGCCCGGGGCUCAACCCCGGAGGUGCGGCCGAUACACCAAGGCUGGAGGCCGGAAGAGGAGGGUGGAAUACCCAGUGUAGAGGUGAAAUUCGUAGAUAUUGGGUGGAACACCGGUGGCGAAAGCGGCUCUCUGGUCCGGUCCUGACGCUGAGGCGCGAAAGCGUGGGGAGCAAACAGG